rnacentral:rRNA from 1 species
GGGGGCGAUCAUACCA